GACGUAGGGCGCGAGCGUUGUCCGGAUUUAUUGGGCGUAAAGAGCUCGUAGGCGGCUUGUCGCGUCGACUGUGAAAUCCCGCGGCUCAACCGCGGGUCUGCAGUCGAUACGGGCAGGCUAGAGUUCGGUAGGGGAGACUGGAAUUCCUGGUGUAGCGGUGAAAUGCGCAGAUAUCAGGAGGAACACCGGUGGCGAAGGCGGGUCUCUGGGCCGAUACUGACGCUGAGGAGCGAAAGCGUGGGGAGCAAACAGG
rnacentral:rRNA from 1 species